GUAGUAGUAGUAAUGAUGAUGGUAGUGAUAGCAGUUUAUUGAUGGUGGUGGUAGUAGUAAAAAUGAUGAAUGUAGUGAUAGCAGUUUAGUGAUCUAGUGGUGGUAGUAGUAGUAAUGAUGAUGGUAGUGAUAGCAGUUUAGUGAUGGUGGAGGUGGUAGUAUUAGUAGUAAUGAUGAUGGUAGUGAUACUAGUUUAGUGACGGUGAAGGUAAUAGUAAUGAUGAUGGUAGUGACACCAGUUUAGUGGUGGUGGUAGUGAUAGCGGUUAAGUGAUGGUGGUGGUAGUAGCAGUAAUGAUGAUGGUAGUGAUCGCAGUUUAGUGAUGGUGGUGGUAGUAGUAGUAAUGAUUAUGGUAGUUAUAGCAGUUUAGUGAUGGUGGUGGUGGUAGUAUUAGUAGUAAUGAUGAUGGUAGUGAUACCAGUUUAGUGACGGUGAAGGUAAUAGUAAUGAUGAUUGUAGUGACACCAGUUUAGUGGUGGUGGUAGUGAUAGCAGUUAAGUGAUGGUGGUGGUAGUAAUAGUAAUGAUGAUGGUAGUGAUAGCAGUUUAGUGACGUGGUGGUAGUAGUAGAAUUGAAGAUGGUAGUGAUAGCAGUUUAGUGAUGGUGGUAGCAGUAGUAAUGAUGAUGGUAGAGAUAGCAGUUUAGUGAUGGUGGUGGUGGUGGUGGUAGUAGUAGUAAUGAUGAUGGUAGUGAUAGCAGUUUAGUGAUGGUGGUGGUAGUACUACUAAUGAUGAUGGUAUUGAAAGCAGUUUAGUGAAGGGUGGUGGUGGUGGUAGUAGUAGUAAUGAUGAUGGUAGUGAUAGCAGUUUAGUGAUUGCUGUGGUAGUAGUAAUGAUGAUGGUAGUGAUAGCAGUUUAGUGAUGGUGGCGGUAGUAGUAGUAAUGAUGAUGGUAGUGAUAGCAGUUUAGUGAUGGUGGUGGUAGUAGUUGUAAUGAUGAUGGUAGUGAUAGCAGUUUAGUGACGGUGGUAGCAGUAGUAAUGAUGAUGGUAGUUAUAGCAGUUUAGUGAUGGUGCUGUUGGUAGUAGUAGUAAUGAUGAUGGUAGUGAUAGCAGUUUAGUGAUGGUUGUGGUAGUAGUAGUAAUGAUGAUGUUAGUGAUAGCCGUUUAGUGAUGGUCGUGGUAGUAGUAGUAAUGAUGAUGGUAGUGAUAGCAGUUUAGUGAUGGUGGUGGUAGUAGUAGUAAUGAUGAUGGUAGUGAUAGCAGUUUAGUGAUGGUUGUUGUAGUAGUAGUAAUGAUGAUGGUAGUGAUAGCCGUUUAGUGAUGGUGGUGGUGUCGGUCGUAAUGAUGAUGGUAGUGAUAGCAGUUUAGUGAUGGUGGUGGUAGUAGUAGUAAUGAUGAUGGAAGUGAUAGCAGUUUAGUGAUGGUGGUGGUGGUAGUAGUAAUAAUGAUGAUGGCAUUGAUAGCAGUUUAGUGAUGGUGGUGGUAGUAGUAGUAAUGAUGAUGGUUGUGAUAGCAGUUUAGUGAUGGUAGUGGUAAUAGUAGUGAUGAUGAUGGUAGUGAUAGCAGUUU
rnacentral:lncRNA from 1 species